rnacentral:rRNA from 1 species
AGACCCGAAACCCGGUGAUCUAGCCAUGGGCAGGUUGAAGGUUGGGUAACACUAACUGGAGGACCGAACCGACUAAUGUUGAAAAAUUAGCGGAUGACCUGUGGCUGGGGGUGAAAGGCCAAUCAAACCGGGAGAUAGCUGGUUCUCCCCGAAAGCUAUUUAGGUAGCGCCUCGUGAAUUCAUCUCCGGGGGUAGAGCACUGUUUCGGCCAGGGGGCCAUCCCGGCUUACCAAUCCGAUGCAAACUGCGAAUACCGGAGAAUGUUAUCACGGGAGACACACGGCGGGUGCUAACGUCCGUCGUGAAGAGGGAAACAACCCAGACCGCCAGCUAAGGUCCCAAAGUCAUGGUUAAGUGGGAAACGAUGUGGGAAGGCCCAGACAGCCAGGAUGUUGGCUUAGAAGCAGCCAUCAUUUAAAGAAAGCGUAAUAGCUCACUGGUCGAGUCGGCCUGCGCGGAAGAUGUAACGGGGCUAAACCAUGCACCGAAGCUGCGGCAGCGACACUGAUGUGUUGUUGGGUAGGGGAGCGUUCUGUAAGCCGUUGAAGGUGGCCUGUGAGGGUUGCUGGAGGUAUCAGAAGUGCGAAUGCUGACAUAAGUAACGAUAAAGCGGGUGAAAAGCCCGCUCGCCGGAAGACCAAGGGUUCCUGUCCAACGUUAAUCGGGGCAGGGUGAGUCGACCCCUAAGGCGAGGCCGAAAGGCGUAGUCGAUGGGAAACGGGUUAAUAUUCCCGUACUUGGUGUUACUGCGAAGGGGGGACGGAGAAGGCUAUGUUGGCCGGGCGACGGUUGUCCCGGUUUAAGCGUGUAGGUGUGUGUUCCAGGUAAAUCCGGUUCACUUUAACACUGAGGCGUGACGACGAGGCACUACGGUGCUGAAGCAACAAAUGCCCUGCUUCCAGGAAAAGCCUCUAAGCCUCAGGUAACAUCAAAUCGUACCCCAAACCGACACAGGUGGUCAGGUAGAGAAUACCAAGGCGCUUGAGAGAACUCGGGUGAAGGAACUAGGCAAAAUGGUGCCGUAACUUCGGGAGAAGGCACGCUGACACGUAGGUGAAGUGGUUUACCCAUGGAGCUGAAGUCAGUCGAAGAUACCAGCUGGCUGCAACUGUUUAUUAAAAACACAGCACUGUGCAAACACGAAAGUGGACGUAUACGGUGUGACGCCUGCCCGGUGCCGGAAGGUUAAUUGAUGGGGUCAGCGCAAGCGAAGCUCCUGAUCGAAGCCCCGGUAAACGGCGGCCGUAACUAUAACGGUCCUAAGGUAGCGAAAUUCCUUGUCGGGUAAGUUCCGACCUGCACGAAUGGCGUAAUGAUGGCCAGGCUGUCUCCACCCGGGACUCAGUGAAAUUGAACUC